rnacentral:rRNA from 1 species
AGUUAAGAUACAAAGGGCAUACGGUGGAUGCCUUGGCGAUAUCAGCCGACGAAGGACGCGAUCAGCUGCGAAAAGCUGCGGUGAGCCGCAAGUAGGCGUUGACCCGCAGAUAUCCGAAUGGAGCAAUCCGGCAGCAGCAGUGCUGUCAUCCCUAUUCGACCGAAUAGGGAAGGGAACCCGGUGAACUGAAACAUCUAAGUAGCCGGAGGAAAAGAAAUCAAACGAGAUACCCCAAGUAGCGGCGAGCGAACGGGGCAGACGCCCAAACCGAUAAAGGAAACUUUAACGGGGUAGAGGACCCGGUAACAAUGCCACGAAUUUAGCCGAAGAGUACUGGAACGUACCGCCGAAGACGGUGAAAGCCCGGUAGGCGAAAGAGGAGUGGCAGGACUGGGAAUCCGGAGUACCGCGGGACACGAGAAACCCCGCGGGAAGCAGGGGGGACCACCCUCCAAGGCAAAACACUGAUAUCGACCGAUAGCGCAUAGUACCGUGAGGGAAAGGUGAAAAGCACCCCGGGAGGGGAGUGAAAGAGAACCUGAAACCGUAUGUUUACAAACAGUCGAAGCACGUUAUGAAUCGUGCGACGGCGUGCCUAUUGAAGAAUGAACCGGCGAGUUACUACUACUGGCAAGGUUAAGGAGGAAAUCCGGAGCCGCAGCGAAAGCGAGUCUGAACAGGGCGCAAGUCAGUAAGAGUAGACCCGAAACCACAGUGAUCUACCCAUGUCCAGAUUGAAACACAGGUAAAAUUGUGUGGAGGAUCGAACCUAUGAGUGUUGAAAAACUUUAGGAUGAGAUGUGGGUAGGGGUGAAAUUCCAAUCGAACGUGGAGAUAGCUGGUUCUCCCCGAAAUAUCUUUAGGGAUAGCCUUAAGGAGAGACUAUAGGCGGUAGAGCACUGAUCGGGCUAGGGACCAAACCGGUUACUGAACCCAGUCAAACUACGAAUGGCUAUAGUUAUACUUAGGAGUCAGACUACGAGUGAUAAGAUCCGUGGUCAAGAGGGAAACAGCCCAGACCAUCAGCUAAGGUCCCCAAUGCCGUGCUAAGUGGGAAAGGAUGUAGCAUUUCACAAACAACCAGGAUGUUGGCUUAGAAGCAGCCAUCAUUAAAAGAGUGCGUAAUAGCUCACUGGUCGAGAGACGCUGCGCCGAAAAUACCCGGGGCUCAAGCACGGAACCGAAGCUAUGGCAUGCGUAAGCAUGGGUAGGGGAGCGUUCUGCAUAGGUAGAAGCAUGACCGUAAGGACAUGUGGACAGUGCAGAAGUGAGAAUGCCGGUAUGAGUAUCGAAAAGAAUGGUGAGAAUCCAUUCCACCGAAAGCCUAAGGGUUCCUGAGCAACGAUCGUCGGCUCAGGGUAAGUCGGGACCUAAGCCGAGGCGAAGACGCAUAGGCGAUGGACAACAGGUUGAAAUUCCUGUACUGACGUUAUUUGUUUGAGCAAUGGAGUGACACAGGAAGGUACAGCAGCACGCGACUGGAAGAGCGUGUCUAAGCGCGUACGUUGGUAACGAGGCAAAUCCCGUUACCUGAAAGCGGAGGCGUGAUGGGGAGACAUUGGAAACAAUGGGGAACUGCUGGAUCCUCGACUGUCGAGAAAAGCUUCUAGUGAGAAUGAUGUCACCCGUACCAAAACCGACACAGGUAGGCGAGAAGAGAAUUCUAAGGUGCGCGGGAAAACCCUACGUUAAGGAACUCGGCAAAAUGCAUCCGUAACUUCGGGAAAAGGAUGACCUUCGGUACGUAACGACCAG